AACCCAGGACUUGGGAUCAUGACCUGAGCCGAAGGCAGCGGCUUAACCCACUGAGCCACCCAGGCGCCCCCUGUUAGAACAAUCUUAAGUGGAGUAGAUACUUUCUCCUUUGCCAGUGAGUAAACAAACUGAGGCUUAGAGUUCUACAGCUGUUUCUUGUUUUUUAAAGAACCAUAAACAUUUUGUGGGAGUGCUGUUGCAUUUUUCAGUUUCAUUGAGAAAUAAUUGAGUUACAAUUAGCCCAGGCGUUCUCCACUAGGGUGGAGUGCGCUGAUGGGUGCUGCUGAGUAUCCUGCAAUGGAUGACAGCCCCCACCACAAAGAACUACGCGCCCAGAAUGUCAGAGCUGAGGCCGAAACUUUGUAUUAGAUGAACUUGAGAGCCCUGGGCUCCAUUCCCAGCCUGUUACCAAAUAACCCCACCGGAGCCUUAUUUCCUUGUAAAAUAGGGUUAUUGGUUUCCAGAUCUGGCUAUACAUCUAAGGGUGGAGAAGUACACCUCCAGCCAUGGUUGAGAAUGACCCUGGAGUGAGGCCCAAGAGUUGUGUGGCCGCCCCAAGAGCAGUCAUACAGGAACAAUUAGAUGAUCUGAUCCACUUUUAGCUCGGGGACUUUUUAUUACAGCAAGAUUACAGCACUGGCUAUUUAUAAGUAGCUCUUGGGGCAGAUCUAUAAUCCUGUACUUAAAAAAAAACUGAUCUAGCUCUGUGGAUCAUGUUUACACAGAGGAGAAAGAAGGAGGAGAUGACCUUGAGUGGUGGUGCCUCCUGGCAGCAGGUUCCUUUGUACAGCUGGCCUUCAGAGAAGUCCCAAAGAAGUACAGUCCCAGCCUUGGUUUCUGAGGCUGGAAAGGAUCCUGCAGAGGCAGAUGGCCCAGUCCACUGCCCUGGGCCCGAAGCGGAGACUUUUGUAUGUUCUCCUCCGCGACGCCAGGUGGAGCCGCACUGCGUCUGUUGCGAACUGUUCAUGCCCAUAAACUGAGGCCCCAGAGGGAGAACAAUUGGAAGGAUUCUUUGGAUUUUCUCUUCAAAAAGGAACCAAAUAAUUUGAGUGACAGUUUACCCCGAAAAAUAUCUGGCGGUUAGUCAAAUCAGGGCAUAACUAGGAACAUGCAGAACGCCUGAGUUGAGCCGAUCUGGGUGUGAGCGGCGCACUGGCAGGAAGGCGGGGAUUGUGAACAGAGAAUGACGUGUACGGGCUGUGUUUUGGGGAGUCUGAGGGGAAGCAGGUGUUUGGCCUAGAAAGAGGUUUCUCAGAGUGGAUUUCCUGUGAAGUUAAUGUAUCUUGGGCUUAAGAUUUCAAGCAUAAAUAAAAGUUGUUAAAAAUGUG